rnacentral:tRNA from 1 species
GCGGGAAUAGCUCAGCUGGUAGAGCGAUACCUUGCCAAGGUAUAGGUCGCGAGUUCGAGUCUCGUU